rnacentral:rRNA from 1 species
UGGGGAAUAUUGCACAAUGGGCGAAAGCCUGAUGCAGCAACGCCGCGUGAGUGAUGAAGGCCUUCGGGUUGUAAAGCUCUGUCUUUUGGGACGAUAAUGACGGUACCAAAGGAGGAAGCCACGGCUAACUACGUGCCAGCAGCCGCGGUAAUACGUAGGUGGCAAGCGUUGUCCGGAUUUACUGGGCGUAAAGGAUGCGUAGGCGGAUUUUUAAGUGAGAUGUGAAAUACCCGGGCUUAACUUGGGUGCUGCAUUUCAAACUGGGAAUCUAGAGUGCGGGAGAGGAGAAUGGAAUUCCUAGUGUAGCGGUGAAACGCGUAGAGAUUAGGAAGAACACCAGUGGCGAAGGCGAUUCUCUGGACCGUAACUGACGCUGAGGCAUGAAAGCGUGGGUAGCAAACAGGAUUAGAUACCCUGGUAGUCCACGCCGUAAACGAUGAGUACUAGGUGUAGGAGGUAUCGACCCCUUCUGUGCCGCAGUUAACACAAUAAGUACUCCGCCUGGGAAGUACGAUCGCAAGAUU